rnacentral:lncRNA from 12 species
GGUCACUGGCAUCCAGGGAAGGCUGAGGGUUUGCCGUCAAGCGUUCACUUGUGGGAUAGAGCUGUGCUCUGGGAGCAGCGGUCCCAGCUACAUUGAACCCUGAGCGGCGCUGUCCUUUGCAGUCCUGAGAGUGCCGUCGGAAGGUGAGGGUACAGCACUGCCUCCCAGGCAGAUAUACCUGAGGAAACGGAGAACCGUGGCUGGCCCUCCUCGAGCACAACCAUGUGGUCCUGGACAGACAGAAGGUGCCUCUGGGGCAGGGGAACUGAGAUGCAGAG